rnacentral:lncRNA from 1 species
GUUUUCAGGAGGCAGAUUGAGACACAUGGGUUUGUACAAGAGGAAAGUAUCCAAUAAAAUGAGUGAUACAUUUGAAUGAUGUACUUGAAACAUUUUUACUUCAAUAUCACAAGUUCCUGCAAAGCAUCAUAAUACAAUAACGGGUGUUUAGGGGAUGGUGUUUAGUAAGUGACCUGUACCUAAGCUGACACGUCGUCCCUAACCUAGUGGUUUGCGUGGUUGACUUGAUUAGGGAUGGUAAUAAAAUGAACUUAGCCUUGAGAACCGAGGAACCAGUACAUAGUUCUUCACUGGACUUAACAAUUCAGUCUCGAGUUUUUACGGAGAGUGUCUGUAGAGGCCCUAUGCGGUGGCGGGGACUAUUGAAGAUGCAUAUAUUUUAAUGUAGCUUUGCACUCUUGCCCUCAAUGAUUUCAAAAAGCUAGUAAAAGCAAUCAGUUACCAAAUUUGGAGAAUGGAAGACAAUUCUGUGGGGCUGAUUCUUUUUUUUGAGACCGCAGGGUUGGAGGGGUCUUGAUAAGGACCGUUCACACUUCAGCAGCACGUUAUGGGCUAGGUUCUGACACCCACUCAAUUAUUGCACCUUUGCCACGUUCAUUAUCCCCACUUUACAGGUGAGGAAGUAAGUUUGGAUAAGAAACGCGCUCAAGGGAACACGCAGAUGGUCGCUGCGUCAGAAUUCGACUCCAAGCGCUGUCUUUCUCUGAAACCCCGUAUCCUCCCCAGUACACGUCACAUCCAGUCAUAAAGUAUACAGUUCAGGUUUGGAGAGCUGUUUAAUGUGAUCGAUGCAGGCGGCCCAGUAGAAUAAUUAAGAAUCUGAAACGGCUAUUUUGCUUUGACUAUUUGGCUUAUUUAACUGUCUACAGUUACAAGUUAAAUGGAUAAUUGUAAAGUCUCUAAAUUACUUUGGGUUAUGUGGACAUAAGCCCAACGCUGUUUUAUUCUGACUCUAAUUAUGUUUCAUUUCAUAUUCCUAAUAGCUCCUUUUCUAGCAGGUGUCCUGGGGGACAGGGAAAGGGACGUGGGGGUGGCUUUAGUCGUGUAUGUUUAGUGGGCCUUCAGGUGGGACAGGUGUGUCCCCUUUAAAGGAAUUUCAUCCAAAGUCAGGCUUACCAACAGACUCUCUAGGACAUAAUGAUUUAUUUAUAAAACAACUCCUCUCUCGUAAAGGGAUUCACCACAAACUUUAUUUAGUUAGUAAGACCCUCCAGUAUAUUUAAAACACCAUCUUAAUGUAUGAAUGUGAAUUACACGUCUUUGUAUUUUAUUUUUUGGCUGUACCCACAGCAUGUGGAAGUUCUCAGGCCAGGGAUCGAACUCGUGCCACAACAGCCACCCAGGCCACAGUAGUGACAACACCAGAUCUUAACCCCCUGAGCCACCAGGGAAUUCCUUGCCUUUCUUUUUAGAAAUGUAUCUUUUAUAUUAAAGCACAUCUGUCUCUUUUUCAUUUAAUUUUUUUUUCUUUUUAGGACCACACCUGCGGCAUGUGAAAAGUUCCCAGGCUAGAAGUCACAUUGGAACUGCAGCUGCCAGCCUAUGCUACAGCCACAGCAACGCCGGAUCCGGGCCUCAUCUGUGACCUGUGGCAACCUCAGAUUCUUAACCCACUGAGCAAGGCCAGGGACUGAACCUGCAUCCUCACAGACGCUAUGUCGGGUCCUUAACCCGCUGAGCCACAAAGCACAUCUGUAUCUUGAACUGACCAAAUGUUUGUCCUGCCACAAAGCACAGAAUGCUUCUCGUAUGUGAUCUCAUGAUUCUUUUAAUAAUUUUAGAAGCACGUAGGGACCAGUCCAGAGAUGAAGAGAAGCAGGGGUGUAAGUUCACCGAUGUUAUCCUCAUGGCCGAUAUUUCACAUUUUCUCCCACUUUGGGAGGAAAUAUCAUGAUCUGUUGUGCCCACUCUUUUCCCAACUUCUGAGAAGCAUUUUGACUGAGGAUUGGGUAAAAUUUAUUCUACAUAUAAGUGAAGAUGUUUAAACUGUAAUUGUGUGCAAUUUGAAGGAAAUCUUCUUUCAGUGGAGUGAAGAUUGACCUCCUCAGGAAUAUUAAAAUGUACAGAGGUUCACACUUUUGCGAUAAUAUUUUAUCAUUUUGAAAACUUCUUCUUAAUAGACCCUCACAUCACAUUUCAGUAAAGUGGUUUCAUUUUCUUUAACAACCAUUAAUAGCUAUUAGAGGUUAAAAAAAAUAAGGCUUUAUAUAGCUCAUUAAAGUACACUUAAGUCAUUUGUAAUUGACAAUUAAAUCAGCAUGGCAAUGCAUUAUCAUAAGUUUGAUAGAUCUGCCUUUUUUAAAGUACUGAGAAGAAAGGGUUCCUUUGUAAGCCAUCCUGCUACAGACUAUUCUUGCAUUUUAAUUGAUCACAAAGAACACAUUGUCUCCACAUAUGUGCUUGGUAAUCAUCGCUCACAAGUUUCCUUUUGUGGGGAUUUUGAUGCUGGGGGGCGGUGCGGGCGUGUGGUUCAUGCUGGGAGCGGUGUCCUUGGUAAGAUUUUUGAAAUAGCAGCGACCUUUCAACUGUUCUUGUAGCCAUAGGAUGAAGAGUUAGAGCUUUUCCUUUUUGAAAGUUCCGAGUCCUCGUUUUUCUCUUUCCUUCUUUUCUUCCAUCUCUCUAAAGACGGAUGAAGGUGUGGGCAAAAAGGCUGGCUCUCAAUGUUACCAUGGCCAUGGCCACACAGAUGCAGGGCCCCCGUUCCUGGGCAGCCAGUGGGCAUUGACCUUAUCCUGUCAAACCACAGAAGAAACCUACGGGCUCUGUUUGUUUGUAUGAUUUGAGCUCUUCCACCGACUCCCACUCCCGCAGGAAAUUUGAGGACUUAUUCUUAGGAAAUUUGUGGUCCAUCCAGAAAUUCCAGUUAAAAGAGUUUCUACGUUUAGAUUAGAAUACAGAAACAUCACUACAUUUGAGAGGGAAUUCUAAUCAUUGAUUUUUUUUUUCUCAGAAGAAACUUACAAACAUUUCAUAGGCAACUGAUUAAUUCCCACUUGUCUUCAUUUCCUUACACCGUACAAUAACGGAUGUCUCCAUUUUGGGGUAAACCUUAAAAAACAGAGUGUGUUUUUCUGUAUUUUAAGCUAUGAAAAAAAGCGAAAAAUCCAGAUUCCUUCCUGUAUAAUUUGCUCAGUUCUAAGAUAGGUCAGAGUACCACUAGAGAUUUUUCCCCUGGAAUAGCUAAGAAAGAUAUUUUAUAAUACGAACAUGGUCAAGUUUUAUGUGAGUCUGAUUAAUCUCAUAAAAAUUUCUCUGCUUUACUGCAUCUUCUUACUAUUAUUUAAUUCAUAGAUUUUGUGGGUCUUCAUGUGAGAUAAACAUGUCAUCGGAGAAGUGAAAGAGGAGUGAUUUUUAAGGAAUUUUUAAAAUAUUGGCAUUAGUUCGGUAUGGAUACCCAAAUGGUAGAUAUUAAUUUUUUUUAAUUUAACGAGGAAAGAGAAGGGAGCCCCUUAUAAUUAGAUUAUCUUUUCACUGUAGUAUAGUUCCAUGCACUCGACAGAUACUCAGGGAUUUUUUUAAAAAUUAAAUGGAAUUAAUGAAUUCAAGGAGUUCAAACCACUCUGGAAGUGACUCUGACACACUCAUGGGUAAUUCAACUGGCCUCUCCAUGCCAACCUCACGAUAGCGUGGCAGGACUCCCUGGGAGGAACGUGGGAUGUGUUAGCCUCAGAAUCACGGUGGUCACGCAUUCUGCUGCCCAGUGCGACGGGUCUGCAUGAGUGUAUUAAAGAGGGAACAGUGCCUUCAGAGAAGACCCCUGCCCCCAGACUCCCUGAGACAGUAGGACGUUAACAGACUCCAAGGAUAAUUGAUGAACAUGUUAAGAGAAUGCUGCAGAAGUGUAUAAAUUACUUUCUGGGACGAAGCUAAAAGUCACAGGGAGAUUUUCUGAAGGUCAGCCAUGGACAGCCUUCUUGGCAGUGGUGAUCUUUAAUUUGCAACUCCUGCCAUCUCAAUUUGCUUCUGCUAUUUGAAACAUGUUUCAAGGUAUUAAUGAAAGAGAUUAAGAUUGGCAAGGCCAUAGAGACUCCUGAUUGCAAAGGCAGGCAGCAAAAUGGCUGAUAACUUUAAAACGUCUGGCGGGUUAGUAGUGAAAACGUCACUGAUCAUCAGAGGUGUGUUUUUCCAUUUCUGGUAGUGCGCUAAAACCUCACCAAUUCUAGUAAGUCUUUAAUAAAAUUGGAAAAUUUCCCAAUGGUAAACUGCGGUAGUAAAUAUUAUAGUGGACAAAGGGAUAACAUAGACUACUUAGUUAAAUUAAGUAUGUUCAAUGAAAGCAAACAUGUCACAGCCGGGCUAGGGUACAUGUAUUUUCUAAACUUUAAAAUAUAAAGUUAUGUCAUUGAAUUUUUAAAAUUUUGCUCGAAAGAAUUACAUAUUCUUUGGGAUUUCUAGUUAAGACAGUGGUUUUUAAUGAUUUUUAUUUUUUUCCAUUGUAGCAUUUACAGUGUCCUGUCAUUUUCUACUAUACAGCAAGGUGACCUAGUCACACAUUCAUAUAAACAUUCUUUUUUCUCACAUUAUCAUGUUCCAUCAUAAGUGACUAGAUGUAGUUCCCAGUGCUAUACAGCAGGAUCUCCUUGCUUAUCCACUCCAAAGGCAAUAGUUUGCAUCUCUUAACCCCAGACUCCCAAUCCAUCCCACUCCCUCCCCUUUGGCAACCACAGGUCAGUUCUCCAAGUCCAUGAGUUUCUUUCCUGUGGAAAAGUUCAUUUGUGCUCUAUAUUAGAUUCCAGAUAUAAGUGAUAUCAUAUGGUAUUUGUCUUUCUCUUUAUGACUUACUUCACUCAGUAUGAGUCUCUAGUUCCAUCCAUGUUGCUGCAAAUGGCACGAUUUUGUUCUUUUUUAUGGCUGAGUAGGAUUCCAUUGUGUAUAUAUACCACAUCUUCCUAAUCCAUUCAUCUGUCAAUGGACAUUGAGGUUGUUUCCAUGUCUUGGCUAUUGUGAUAAUGCUGCAGUGAACAUAUGGGUGCGUGUGUCUAUUUCAAAGAAAGUUUUGUCUGGAUAUAUGCCCAAGAAUUGGAUUGCUGGGUCAUAUGAUAGUUCUAUGUAUAGUUUUCUAAGGUACCGCCAUACUGGUUUCCACAGUGGUUGUACCAAUUUACAUUCCCACCAACAGUGCAGGAGGGUUCCCUCUUCUCCACACCCUCUCCAGCAUUUGUUAUUUGUGGACUUAUUAAUGAUGGCCAUUCUGACUGGUGUGAGGUAGUACCUCAGAGUAGUUUUGAUUUGCAUUUCUCUAAUAAUCAGUGAUGCUGAGCAUUUUUUCAUGUGCUUGUUGUCCAUCUGUGUAUCUUCUUUGGAGGAAUGUCUAUUCAGGUCUUUUGCCCAUUUUUCAAUUGGGCUGUUGGCGUUUUUGCUAUUGAGGUCUUUAAGUUGUUUGUAUAUUUUAGAGAUUAAGUUCUUGUCAGUUGCAUCAUUCAAAAUUACUUUCUCCCAUUCCAAAGGUUGUCUUUUUGGUUUUUUUUUAAUAGUUUCCUUUGCUAUGCAAAAGUUUGUCAGUUUGAUUAGGUCCUCUUGGUUUAUUUUUGCUUUUAUUUUCUGUUGCUGUGGGAGACUGACCUGGGCAAACAUGUGUAAGGUGGAUGUGAAGCUGGUGUUUUGACUUACGGCCCUUGACAUAGUUUAGAGAUAGAGGACAUGACGAAAAUUAUCCUCUGUAACCAGUUAUGGUGUGAGCCAAGAAUAAAAGAUGCUCUUUGUUUUAGAAAAUCUGUUAAUAUAUUGUAUUAUCUCAGUAGGUCAGUAAGAAAAAAGUCAAUAAAAUUAAACCCUUAUUCCUGAAGGGCGUCGGGGGGACUCUUAGAAAACCUGGCGUGCAGAAGAACUUUUAAAACUUAAAGACAGCUGUCUUAAACUAGUCAUUGAGUGAGGGCACCUUCUCUUCAUUCAUUAAAUAAUGUUCUGGAAGCUUCGAUCCUAGCAAUAAGACAUAGAACCGAAAACUGAUAUGCUGGUGAGAAACACAAAGAUUAAAAAAUUUCUCAUUUGUACAUGAUAGGUAUGUUUAUGAAUAUAAUCAUGAAAAAGCAAGACAGUCUUGAGAAAACAACAAAAAAAUCUCUAAGAAUUUAAGGAGUGUAUAAUAACAAAUGUUAAUAUUAAAAAUUUAAAAUAAAUGUACGGAGUUCCUGUUGUGGCUCAAUGGGUUAAUAGCCACAAGGAGGCGGAUUUGAUCCCUGGCCUCGCUCAAUGGGCUGAGGAUCCAGCCUUGCCAUGAGCUGUGGUGUAGGUUGCAGAUGUGGCUCGGAUCUGGUGUUGCUGUGGUUGUGGCGUAGGCUGGCAGCUGCAGCUCCAAUUAGACCCCUCACCUGGGAACUUCCAUAU